GACGUAUGCACACAGUUCAUCUAAACCCUGGUCUGCAGCACCGUUGCAAGAAUGAAGGCUCUAGUAGUCAUUCUGCUCCUGGCGUUAGCCACUGAGCUCUUCAACCCGGUGUCUGCAGCGAAGAAGAAUAGCAGGCCUAGGAUAAGAUCUUGCCAAAAGAUUACCUGCAACAACAUGGGCAUGUGCAGUCCCUCCUGCGCCGGUUGCUAUUCCGACGGAAGGGGAUCUCCUUCGGGCAUCAAGUACUGCCAGGCAGGAUAAACACAGUGGCGGAGUUAACAUUAACCUGAAGAUCCACCCGAAGCCAGCUGCUGAAAUAAAAUGUCGUUUCAAGAUUAAGUACCUAAUAAGCUAUGCCUAUUAAACACCCUCAGAUAUAUGA